CUAAGAAUCUUAAAAUCUUCUAAAAAUCUCCUUUUGCUUCUAGGAAACCUUUCUCUUAUUAUUCUCCAUUCUGUAAUGAUGAGAAACUUAGCAAAACAGUAUUUUGCUUUUAUAAUGUUGGAAUCACUUAGUUUUAACAAGAUAUUGUUAUACUUGUUGAAUUAAUACUUGCCUUAUUUAUGCUACAGACAAAACACAUCAUAGCUUAUGCCAAAAAUAAGAGGUGUUUUUUUCAUUUGUAAUAGAUUUUAAUUGCACUGACCCUGUUGGGGAUCCUGGUAGAUUUUACUGGGGUCUUAUAGGAUGUUGCUGAGUGAAAGCUGUCCAGAAGACUCACUAUUUGUUUUCUUAGUGCUGUUGAAUCUUUUGCCUACCCUAAUCAUCGUAUGCAAAUUAAUUUCAAAUGCUUCUACGCUCAGCUCAUUUGCAGUGUGGAAGAGUAGAAGACUGAGGGGAAAUUUACUGAAAAAUGCUUGCUUCUGGCCUGAUCAAAAAUGGGAGAUAAUCAUUUUUCUAAUAUCAACUUAAAAUGAUUAAUUUAAACCUAAGGCAAUUUUUUUUCCAGUAAGUAUGAGAUAAGUGGAGAGUAUGAAAGUCAAGUUGUGGGAGAAGUUUAGAGCUGUGAAUUUUGGCUGAUAUAAAACAUGUCUGUUAAUGCUGGUGCAAGCAUCUUUAGUAUCCAGGUGUCAUUGAAUUUAGUGCUGAGGCUGUGACUGUCUGCAGCAUGUUUGAGUUUUUACCAGCAAUUGCAGAGUAGAAGCUUACAUUAGCAAGUAUCUGAUUUUAAUGUGUAAUGCAAAGCUUCUUUAAAAAAAAAAUGGAGUUGACAUUAUCUCUGUCUGUCUUUAUUCUGGCCUCUGUAUCUCUCUUUGUGUCUCUAACGCACCUCACCGUCUGCCAAUUCAUCAUAGGAAUGCACAGCUACAACUGAUGAAAGCAGAGUUCUUCAGUCCUACUUGCCAUUCCCAGGGGGAAAAAAAAAAGGGAAUUCACAGUGUCUUUCAGAAUAAAAUUUGUUCUCUUCUGCUGAAAGAUAUGAUCUUUUCCCAUCUGCUGCAUAUUAUUUGUCUUUAAUCAUUAGAGAUUGGCUUAAGGCUGAAGCGUAUAGUUUUGAUAGGGAUAUUAAAUUAUCAUUCUUUGUUACUUUUUUUCAUGUUCAUAAGAACUGAGAGGUAAUAAGAACACAGCAUGGUAGCACUAAGCAGGAAUGAAAUCUUGCACUGAAAGCAAAUCCAUAAAGGCAAGAAGAAUGUUGUUACUGUGUGUGUAUUUAUAUGUAAAUCAGGAAAGAGUGGGCUAGCACAGUUCAAACUUCCCUCCUCCUUUCACAUCAAAUAUUAUCUUUGUUAUAACCAAUAUUUCUUUUUCACUACUGUACUGUGUAAACAGGAGAAAUGUAUGUUUCUAUGCCUUGAUUCUGCUUGGUCUACAAAGGCAACAGAAAUUCAUGCAGUGAAUUCUGAUACUAUUAGAUGUUUAGAUCAAAUGAAAAUAUGACAUAUAUUAGCACCAACAUAAAAUACUAGUGGCAUAUUACUCUCUGUAUUUUCAGUGCAAAAGGGACACUCUGUUCAUAUCAAGGCAUCUGAAAGUGCUUUGUCAUUUCCAAAUGGUAUUGAAUGCAGUGCUGGAUUCCUUGGGGUCACGUUUCAUUGCCCAUGCUAUCUUCUUGUCUAGACUGCAGCCUCCUAUGAUAUGUUUUCAAACAGCUUUUGUCUGUGCUCCAUCAAGGGACAGAAAUAUUAACCUUUAAUGUCAAGUCUAGAUUCAAGAGACAUUUCUCCUUUCAGUAGGAAUUCAGUUGAGUAAAAAUAAUAAAAAAGAAAAUGAAGAGAAUGACAGGUGGAUGUGAUAUUCAACCUUAAAUGUGUAUAUUUUACCCUGCAAGUCCAGUGCCCCUUUCUGGAAUUUGAGGAAAAACAGUCACCGUGUCCCCAAAUCCAUGACAAGCUAACUGCGAAGAUUUGAGACCCUCUAAAUCCUUCUGAACUUCAAAGAAAUUAGCGAAGAGCAAAAGAGCUGCUUUUAUAAAGGUGCUGAUGACUUUCAGUGUGCUCUGCCUGACGGGCAUUGGGAUUUUAAGAAUGGGAGCUGGAGUCCUCGGAGGGCUUUGGGUCGUGUCAGUAGGGCCCAAUGGAGACCUGUGGGCCCAUAGGCUGUAUGUGCUUGUGCCUCCUCUCUAGGGAUCAGCAAGAAAAAGGUCCAAAGUUUUAAUAAGUGUGCUGAAAGGGAAGCAGCAGUGGGUGUACAGGGCCCUGCUGAGGUUUCUGCCACUGGUGAGGAGCGGGCAAGGCAAGGAGGAGCAGUUCUGUCAUGUUCAUGGCCAACUCUCCUCUUUUUUGUGCAUAUUUCUAGAGAGUAAGUGCGGUGACAUAGCAGUUUUGCAGGGCUGUUGUGAGAGUCACUCUCUUGAGAAUAAGUUGUGAAGUAGAAGAGCAAUUCUUUUUCUUAAGGGUUAUGAUUUUGGUAAAGGCAAGGCAAAGAUCCAAUACUUCCAUCCCAGUGAAACAUCUCUAGUGAAUCCUGCUCUGCAGACAUCUUUAGGUUGCCUGUCAGAAGUGUUUCUCAAAGGCUGUUAUGUGUUACAGAGGUUUUUGGCUUGCUGCAGCACCUGUUGCCUUCAGUUACAAACUUGCAUUUGAAAAUCAGACAUCCAAAUUUCCUGCCUCUAAACAAGUUGCAGAUUUAUCUGCUACAACAUGGUGUAACGAUCCUAGCGAAAAGUUUAGGACUGGCAGUAUUGACAAUGAGAGAGACAAAAGAAGAUGAUAACUAUAGCUAAAUUUCAGUCAUUACCACAUAGCGUUGGUAUAAAUACAAAUUCAUAACUCAGAGCAGCAGAACUUGGCCCAGUGAAAUGGACUGAUUUCUGAUUCUUCUGAGAGAGCAAUGAAAUGAUAAAUCUAAUUUUUAUCUGCUAUAUAGCUUUUUCAUCAAUGUUGAGCACAAAUCAUUUUUAAAAGUGGACUGUAAUUGCCCUUGGCUAUAUAGAUUAGUUCUCAGAAGAAAAAGGUCAGUGUCCCACUUACAAAUGGUUAGAAUGUUGUGCUGGCAGAAAUAACUAUGGAUGCACAAAGCAAAGCAAUUAGUGGCGAGGACCUAACAUCGUGCUUUAUGCAUCUCAGGAGUUUUAAAAUUAACUACUUCCUGAUUCUGCAAACUGAAUGCUCAUUAGUUUCCAGGGCAUGUGAGGUGCCCUCCUAGAGCAGCUUGCUGCUUGACUGGUGUGUAGAAGGAACCCAGGGCCAGAGGGCUGGAAAAACUAGCACACAGUAGGUCAGGGGGAUCACAAAGCCUACUUCAAAAGCACAUUUGGUCCCAGACGAAGUAUUCUUGUAGAUUCAUCUAAUGUUGCCAAGAAGUUAUCCUUAUGGUAAAUUUGAGAUUUUCAGACGUUUCAGAACUCAAUCUUCUGGUUUGCAUUUAUAUGUAGCAAACCCACCCUGUAAUCUUUGCUCCUAAAUCUUUGUGGUUCUGAGGACUCCUGUCUCCCACUGGCUCCAUCAGGAAUUGAUACUCAAUAUCUCUCCAAACCAGUUGCUAUGCCUGGGGAGAAAAUGAUGCAGUUCCUUAAUACCCUUAGCAUUUCAUAAAU
ensembl:lncRNA